CGCGUAGGCGGUCUUGCAAGUCCCGUGUGAAAUCCCUCGGCUCAACUGAGGAACUGCACGGGAAACUGCUUGGCUUGAGUUCGGGAGAGGGAAGCGGAAUUCCGGGUGUAGCGGUGAAAUGCGUAGAUAUCCGGAGGAACACCGGUGGCGAAGGCGGCUUCCUGGACCGACACUGACGCUGAGGCGCGAAAGCUAGGGGAAGCAAACG
rnacentral:rRNA from 1 species